UACAGAGGGUGCAAGCGUUGUCCGGAAUUAUUGGGCGUAAAGAGCUCGUAGGCGGCUUGUCGCGUCGACUGUGAAAACCCGUGGCUCAACCAUGUGGUCUGCAGUCGAUACGGGCAGGCUAGAAUUCGGUAGGGGAGACUGGAAUUCCUGGUGUAGCGGUGAAAUGCGCAGAUAUCAGGAGGAACACCGGUGGCGAAGGCGGGUCUCUGGGCAAUAACUGACGCUGAGGAGCGAAAAGCGUGGGGGAGCGAACAGG
rnacentral:rRNA from 1 species